rnacentral:rRNA from 1 species
ACGAACGCUGGCGGCGUGCCUAAUACAUGCAAGUUGAGCGCUGAAGGUUGGUACUUGUACCGACUGGAUGAGCAGCGAACGGGUGAGUAACGCGUGGGGAAUCUGCCUUUGAGCGGGGGACAACAUUUGGAAACGAAUGCUAAUACCGCAUAAAAACUUUAAACACAAGUUUUAAGUUUGAAAGAUGCAAUUGCAUCACUCAAAGAUGAUCCCGCGUUGUAUUAGCUAGUUGGUGAGGUAAGGGCUCACCAAGGCGAUGAUACAUAGCCGACCUGAGAGGGUGAUCGGCCACAUUGGGACUGAGACACGGCCCAAACUCCUACGGGAGGCAGCAGUAGGGAAUCUUCGGCAAUGGACGAAAGUCUGACCGAGCAACGCCGCGUGAGUGAAGAAGGUUUUCGGAUCGUAAAACUCUGUUGGUAGAGAAGAACGUUGGUGAGAGUGGAAAGCUCAUCAAGUGACGGUAACUACCCAGAAAGGGACGGCUAACUACGUG